CCCUUAGAUGUCCUGGGCCGCACGCGUGCUACACUGAGUGUCUGAGAUACGAGUCUGCCUGGUCCGGCAAGGUCUAGGUAAUCGCUAAAAGACACAUCAUGCUUGGGAUAGAUUAUUGCAAAUAUUAAUCUUGAACGAGGAAUUCCUAGUAAGCGCAAGUCAACAGCUUGCGUUGAUUACGUCCCUGCCCUUUGUACACACCGCCCGUCGCUACUACUGAUUGGAUGUUUAAGCGAGGUUCUCGAACUGCUGGCGACUUAGCUUCGGUGAGGUCGCAGUGUGGGAAGUGAACCUAGCUUUGGUGUCUAGAGGAAGUAAAAGGCGUAACA
rnacentral:rRNA from 1 species